rnacentral:rRNA from 1 species
UACGUAGGGUGCAAGCGUUGUCCGGAUUUAUUGGGCGUAAAGAGCUUGUAGGCGGUUUGUCGCGUCUGCCGUGAAAAUCCGGGGCUCAACCCCGGACUUGCGGUGGGUACGGGCAGACUAGAGUGUGGUAGGGGAGACUGGAAUUCCUGGUGUAGCGGUGAAAUGCGCAGAUAUCAGGAGGAACACCGAUGGCGAAGGCAGGUCUCUGGGCCACUACUGACGCUGAGAAGCGAAAGCGUGGGGAGCGAACAGG